CUCCUGAACCCUGAGCUCGGCAUUUCGCGGGGACCAUCGGCCCCACCGGCGGAAGAUUACUUUCGCUUUCCUCAUCGUCAUCGGACGAGUCGUCCUCGGGAUGGGAGAUCGGCGGCGC
rnacentral:SRP_RNA from 13 species